GAGGAAGUUUUUUGAAUAGUAUAUUUGCCAGUGUUGAAUCAGCCAGAGAUUCGUCAAGUUGGGAAUUCCUAUACAUUUUAUUGGCCACAAAUUCUGUAUAGGAGUACCCGCUUCUACUAUCAUAGGUGCAUGAGAUAAUUUCUGAUAGUGCAUCCAACUAUUUAUGCUUGCUCCAAUAUUGUUGCAGGAACUUGGAGAGGAAAUCGUCCAGGCUCUUAAGGUUCCACAUCCGGCUCUGGAAGAACAUCAGUGGCUCACCGAGUAGGAGACUAGACAAUCGGAAGCGCCAUACUAGCCAAGAGGUUGGUGGCGGCGGAGGAUGGCAAUUGGGUGGCGGGCUUCCCUGUUCCUGUGCUUGGAGCGGUCUGCAGAGAUGUCAGUGACGGGUUGGACGCCCUCACUCCUUCAUCCCCACCAGCUGGGACUUUCAUUGGUAUUCAUGGCAUCGACGGCAUUAUCAAUCCUAGUGGAGGACAAUUGGGCUAGGUUUUGUGGGUCGAGAUUAGCGGAGCAUAUGCUGCCUCCUUUUCUCUCCUGUGGGGUCUCCGCUGCAUUGUCCUGGGGGUGUUGAUCAGCUGGUGUCAUGUUGGUAGGAUCUUGGGGAUGAUCACUAAAGUAGAAAAUUUGUGAAUUAGCUGGAGACUGGUUCAUGGUGACGAUAAGAGGAGUGAGAACACAUAAUGAAAUUAUGUUCUUUAUCAUCUAAGAUAAUUCAUAGUAAUGAGAUAAAAAUCACAUUUGAUGCUUCAUUUGAGUCAAGCUGUUGAGUUCAUGGACAGAAAUUGAAAUCAUCGUUUUUUUUCCUCUAAGGUUGUUUGAAUGGCUUCCUUCCUUGGUGUUGGAGGAGCAUAGUUCGGGAGUUUGAUACUCGUACUGUUUGUCCAAUUUGACGCUCAGUGUAGUGAAGCUUGCAAUGCAAUCUCUCUCUUUCCCUCUACUUUACCACCAGACCACUAAUCCUCGAAAAAGAAGGUAUUCGAAAUAGUAAGUCUUUCAUGGAAGAACUCACCCCCAAUGAAAAAAUCGAUUCACAGUUGCAGGCUUCCAUAACUAAUUGAUUGUUGUAGACUGGCCUGGAAAUGUUCUUGGCCCUUGAAGCCUCUUGAAGAGGCUAGCCACUUACUGUGAGAAGAUCCACUUUCGACUGUCAGCAAUCCUCAUGAAUAACAUCAAUGCUUCCCAUUCAGUCAGUGCUGACCGACUCGGGUACUCUAACGGGUAGUUCACUUUCAACAGUCAGUAUUGCUAGUGAAUAGCACCAAUGUUUCACCUUUAACUAAUGCUGACACUGUCUCAGUGUAAAGCUGCUUGGUUGUGUGUCAGCGUACCUAAUAAAUAACAUCGAAGCUCGUCACGUUCAACUAAUGCUGACAUUUUAGAGUGAAUUUCACUAUAGAGCAGCUUGGUUGAAUGUCAUCAUACCUCGUGAAUGAUAUCAAUGCUCUUUGUUUGGUAGGAAGUUUAGAAACACCCCCUGUGUUUUGUUCCGCAGACGUUCCAAUAGGUACUCAAUAUGAAUGUUCAUACUGAAGCACACUGCCAAUUUAUGAUGCCAGAAUAGUGUGAUAUUCG
rnacentral:lncRNA from 1 species